GCGCGGGGCUGCUCACGAAGUCGGGUUCCCAGCUCCAAAGUGUCCGCGCUGACAAGUUCUCGCAACCAAUUAUAACAAGCAACGCUUCGAGUGCGGAUACACAAGCAACGACAACACGUCCACAGCCUUCGAUGCGGGGAAACUGCAGGUCGGUGUCACUCGGCGGCCCUCCCAACAUGGUUCCUAUUCCAACGAAAAGAUCGGGCGCGAUGAGACGUCCUCUGGUACGCGCAAAUGAUAAUGAUCAUAAUUCGCCGCCACCCACCCUCUCUGGCCUCACAGCAGCCCAAUUUUGGAGUGUACGAUCAACGAGAUCUUCCUGCCAUGAACAACGAAUAAGGCCAGCAUAGAACAAAAGCUUACGGAAUCCCCACGAAAUACCGGCUUUGAUCUGUCUCGGUAUUAAUUAAAAUUCAGGAGUGUAGCAAUGCGCAACCCCCCCUCCCCCGCCCUCUCGUAGUUUCUGUCCUCCAUUCGGCAAGCCUGACGUGAAGUUGCACCAGACAGCACCUGCAUGUCAUCCCCUUUUUAAUGCCUUUUUAGAGUUCAAGGAAGGAUGCACCCCUCCUCCAGAUGCUCACAAAAAGAAAUUCUUGACCAUGCACUGCUACAAUUGCGCGUAAUUUUGUAGUUUCAAUUUUUUAACGUUUGAUAUCCUGCCAUUUUAGUUACAACCAAUUGUUAAUAUAAGUGAUUGAUUAGAUGUUAACUUCCAUGCUAUAAUAAAGUCAAGCAAAACUGA